rnacentral:rRNA from 1 species
UACGUAGGGUGCGAGCGUUAAUCGGAAUUACUGGGCGUAAAGCGUGCGUAAGCGGUUCCUCAAGUCCGUUGUGAAAGCCCCGGGCUCAACCUGGGAAUGGCAGUGGAAACUAGGGGACUGGAAUCUGGCAGAGGGGGGUGGAAUGCCGCGUGUAGCAGUGAAAUGCGUAGAGAUGCGGCGGAACACCGAUGGCGAAGGCAGCCCCCUGGGCUGAGAUUGACGCUCAGGCACGAAAGCGUGGGGAGCAAACAGG